GCCCCCCAACCACCGCUGACCAAUAGCAGAGCAAUCAGAGUCCGACUCCGUCACGUACUCUGCUUUACUCAUUCGAACGCAGAGCAAGAGGGCGACGGCGGAGAAAAUGGACGUCCCCGGCGUGAUAUCCGUCGACCGGCCGACCGUCAUGAUCACCAACGACGACGGCAUCGACGCCCCCGGCAUGCAAUCCCUCGUCCGCGUCCUCGUCUCCUCCGGUCGCUACAACGUCCAAGUCUGCGCUCCCGACUCGGAAAAAUCAGCUGUUAGCCAUUGUAUCACGUUGCGUCAACCUCUUGUGGCUAGGCGAGUGCACAUUGAAGGAGCAAUUGCAUUUGCGGUGUCAGGGACACCAGCAGAUUGUACGUCAUUGGGAAUCUCUAAGUCACUUUUCCCCUCGGUUGCUGAUCUGGUAAUCAGUGGUAUUAACAUGGGUAACAACUGUGGAUAUCACAUUAUUUAUUCUGGCACAGUUGCUGGUGCUCGUGAGGCCUUCUUUAUUGGCGUGCCAUCUAUUUCUAUAUCGUAUGAUUGGGUUGGAGGUAUAAGCAGCGUGCAAGACUUCACACUUGCUGCUGAGGCUUGCUUACCUAUUAUUGGUUCGAUUUUGUCUGAGAUAAAGAAGAGCAGUUAUCCCAGAAAAUGCUUCUUGAAUAUAGAUCUGCCGACAGAUGUUGCAAAUCAUAAGGGCUAUAAGCUCACUAAGCAGGGUAGAAGCAUAAUCCAGAUGGCAUGGAGACCAGUGAACUCAGACAUGCAUGGAGGGAAGAUGUUAUCAACAAUGACAAUGGAUACGGAUUCAGUGAUGUUGACAGAAGCAGAUGGAUCAACUAUGUCUCAGGAACAUCUUCUAUUUAAGAGAGAAGUAAGAGGAGCCCAAGUUGAUGAUGAUGCUACAGAUCAUCGAUCUCUGAAGGAAGGAUUUAUCACUGUUACGCCUCUUGGUGCUCUUUCCCCAGCGAAUGUGGAAUGUGAGAGUUUUUUUAAGGAUUGGCUGCCAAAUGUGGCCUAACGCCCUUCACUGACUUCUUAAUGCUGUUAGAUUGCCUUUUGUGACUAAUACAUAUGAGUUGAGGAUUGCUUCUCUAUGUGGAGAGUAUAUGCUUCACACUCAAGUUAUUGUCAAGGUUAUUCAUUUUUUAAGCCAUGUCUUGUGCCAUCUCUUUGCCUGGGGAUCUUAAGCUUAGGAAAAAGUUGCCAAUGUCAAGUAAGAAUUGUACGAGCUUUCAAUUUCCCCAAUUAAUACAAAUGGGGCUAUGCUCACAUUUGACUAUUGAAAUAAUAGCAUCUUCCCAAUGCAAUUUAUGCGGAGGAUUGAUCUUAAUGUUGCCCUGUCAAAAUUCAUUACCCUGUUCUCUGUAGUUAAGGUUCACUUAUAGUAACAUUAGGAGGCCUGCGCUAUCAUGAACUCAUUUUUCCUUCUGAUCUGUAUUAGCCCAAUCAGAUCUUCCUCCUCAUUC